UACGAAGGGGGCUAGCGUUGCUCGGAAUCACUGGGCGUAAAGCGCACGUAGGCGGAUUGUUAAGUCAGGGGUGAAAUCCUGGAGCUCAACUCCAGAACUGCCUUUGAUACUGGCGAUCUCGAGUCCGGGAGAGGUGAGUGGAACUGCGAGUGUAGAGGUGAAAUUCGUAGAUAUUCGCAAGAACACCAGUGGCGAAGGCGGCUCACUGGCUCGAUACUGACGCUGAGGUGCGAAAGCGUGGGGAGCAAACAGG
rnacentral:rRNA from 1 species